rnacentral:rRNA from 1 species
UGGGGAAUAUUGCGCAAUGGGGGAAACCCUGACGCAGCAACGCCGCGUGAAGGAUGAAGGUUUUCGGAUUGUAAACUUCUUUGACGAGGGACGAAUAACUGACGGUACCUCGAAAACAAGCUCCGGCUAACUACGUGCCAGCAGCCGCGGUAAUACGUAGGGAGCGAGCGUUGUCCGGAUUUACUGGGUGUAAAGGGCGAGUAGGCGGGAUGACAAGUCAGAUGUGAAAACUAUGGGCUCAACCCAUAGCCUGCAUUUGAAACUGUUGUUCUUGAGUGAUGGAGAGGCAGGCGGAAUUCCUAGUGUAGC